UACGGGGGGGGCAAGCGUUGUUCGGAAUUACUGGGCGUAAAGGGCUCGUAGGCGGCCAACUAAGUCAGACGUGAAAUCCCUCGGCUUAACCGGGGAACUGCGUCUGAUACUGGAUGGCUUGAGAUUGGGAGAGGGAUGCGGAAUUCCAGGUGUAGCGGUGAAAUGCGUAGAUAUCGGGAGGAACACCAGCGGCGAAGGCGGCUUUCUGGACCAAUACUGACGCUGAGACGCGAAAGCGUGGGGAGCAAACAGG
rnacentral:rRNA from 1 species